AUGGACGGCGGCGGUGUCAGCUCCGACAUUAGCCGGUCUGUGCGGGUGCUCAUCGAGGGCCAGCCGAGCGCGGCGGGGGUGUUCUCCGCCACGCCGUUCGAGCCGCAGCUGUCGGAUGACUCGCCCCCACGCUCGAGCCUCGAAGGCGGCGGAUCGGCCAGCCUCGACGCGGCGGCGGCCUCGUGCAGCGAGCGAGUCGACGGCGGUGGGGCGGCGGCGGAGGGGCCCGAGCGGAGGCUCACGCUGCUGGCGCUGCGGCUGGCGAUCCUGGAGAAGGCGGCCAGCGGGCUGGGCGCGCUGGGGUUCAUCUGGGCCACCGUCGUCCUCCUCGGCGGCUUCGCCAUCACCCUCGGCAAGGACGACUUCUGGUCCGUCACCAUCAUCCUCCUCAUCGAGGGCGCACGCAUCUUCAGCCGCAGCCACGAGCUCGAGUGGCAGCACCAGGCCACCUGGUCGCUCUCCGCUGCCGGCCGCUCCAGCUUCCGCCUCGUCGCCCGCUCCUUCCGCUUCGUCUUCGGCCUCGACGGCCGCGGCGGCAGCGCCAAGAAUAUGGAUGCCUCGUCGUCUAGAUGGAGCUGGAGAUUGAAGAGCUGGGGCUUCCUGUCGAGGCACGUCGGGAGGGCCUUCUACUGGCUGCAGCUAGCGUCCGCCACGGCCUGCGUCACGCUGUCGGCGGUGCGGCUCGUCAGGCAGGACUUCGGCGAAGCGGAGGACGCGCGGACUAACCGGCGAUCGGCGCUGGACAUCUUCUACGGCCUCGCGCUGGCGGAGGCGCUUCUCUUCCUCGCGGAGAAGGCGAUGUGGGAGUGGGAGGUGAGCCACGGCCGUCUGCUCGAGCGCGUCGCGAGCGAGUGCCACCUCGCUGGCGCACCGGGGCUCCUCGCCAUCCGUCGCUUCUUCUACGACGCAUACUCUCGGUGCGUCGACGGGAGCAUAUUCGACGGCCUCCGCAUGGACCUCGUCUCCUUCGCCGAGGAGCUCCUCGUGGAGGGCUCGCACGACGAGCAGCGGAUCGGCGUCGGCAUCCUCGUCAACGUCGCCGGGAGUCCAAGGCUCGGUGACACGGCGUUGCAUCGGGUCGGCACGUCAGCAGCAGUCAUGGAGCGGCUGGUGGAGAUGCUCGGCUGGAAGGGCGCGGCGGAGGCCGGGGCGAGGGCGUCCGCGGCACUCGUCGUGUCCAAGCUCGCCAGCAAGAAGCGGAACGCGCUCCGGGUCGCCGGCGUUCCAGGCGCCAUCGAGUCCGUGUCGUCGCUGCUCUACGCAGCGGACGAGGAGUGCAACCUACUCGGCCUCCUCAUCAUCAAGAGGCUCGCGCAAGACCACGACAACUGCAGCAAGAUCGGCAACGCCCGGGGCCUCCUCGACAAGAUCAUCAACUUCUCCAGCAUCGGCGCUGCCGGCGCACCAUCCACGGUCAUCACCCAUUCGCGCGCUAAAGCAGUGAAGCGGUCGCUGCAGGUGAUCAGGAUGCUCGCCGACACGACCGGGAGCACGGGGAAACAGCUGCGGCGAGAGGUGGCGGAGAUCGUGUUCACGGUCAGCAACAUCCGCGCUGUACUGCAGCACGCCGCCGGCCACCUGGAGCUGCAGCGGCUCGGUGCCGAGGUGCUCACCCGGCUCGCCAUGGACGAGGACGCGCGUGAGAAGAUCGGCGGCACUGGCAGUGUCAUCUCGCUCCUCCUCGCCAUGUUCUUCCGGCAAGGCAUCACUGACGAGGGUGACGCCGUGCGCGUCGAGGCCGGCGAGGCGCUCGCCAUGCUGGCGCUCGACAGCCCGCACAACUGCGAGAGAAUACUCAACGCUGCCCCCACCGUUGUCGACCGACUCGUGGAGGCGCUGAGUGACAACGCCGUCGGGGUCGGCGCGGCAAGGAUCCUCACCAACCUGUGCGCGUACACCGGCGGCGAGCGGUUCCCGGAGGUCCGCGCCGUCACGUCCGGCGCCGCCACGGUGCUGCGCAACAUCAUGGCCAAGAAGUCGAAGCUGCUGGAGGUGUCGCUGGGCCUCGCGGCGCAGGCAGUGAGGCUCAUGGCGCCUCAUGAGCUGGCCCACCACCUCGCCCGCGCCGGCGUCAGCGAGGUGGACCUGGUGAACAGGCUGGUGCACGUGCUGGCGAGGUACAGCUGCCCUUCGAUCAAGGUGCCGCGGAUCAGACGGUUCACGGUGGAGCUCCUGAUCGGGAUGCUCAGGAUGGACUCGUCGUUCGCGGAGCUGAUGGCGGCGGCGGGGAUGGGGCGGGAGCUGCGGCACGUGGCGGAGACGACGUCGGAGCUGGAGUGCUUCCACGUGUUCUCCGGCAGCGCCGGGGUAAGCCGGCACGCGGUGAGCCUCUGCGCGCUCGUCAGCGAGGCACGGGAGCUCAUGGACAUGGACUUCCGCAGCCAGUAG
rnacentral:rRNA from 1 species